rnacentral:rRNA from 1 species
CACGUAGGGGGCAAGCGUUAUCCGGAUUUACUGGGCGUAAAGCGCGCGCAGGCGGUGGCGUCAGUCUGCUGCGAAAGCCCCGGGCUCAACCCGGGAGGGACGGCAGAUACUGCGGCACUCGAGGGCGGCAGAGGCCGGUGGAAUUCCGGGUGGAGCGGUGAAAUGCGUAGAGCUCCGGAGGAACACCAAUAGCGAAGGCAGCUCGCUGGGACGGUACUGACGCUAAGGCGCGAAAGCGUGGGGAGCGAACAGG